rnacentral:rRNA from 1 species
UACGGGGGGGGCAAGCGUUGUUCGGAAUUACUGGGCGUAAAGGGCUCGUAGGCGGCCAACUAAGUCAUACGUGAAAUCCCUCGGCUUAACCGGGGAACUGCGUCUGAUACUGGAUAGCUUGAGUUCGGGAGAGGGAUGCGGAAUUCUCGGUGUAGCAGUGAAAUGCGUAGAUAUCGGGAGGAACAUCAGUGGCGAAGGCGGCUAUCUGGACCAACACUGACACUGAGGCACGAAAGCGUGGGUAGCAAACAGG